CUACGGGUUGCUGCAGUGGGGAAUAUUGGACAAUGGGGGAAACCCUGAUCCAGCAAUGCCGCGUGUGUGAAGAAGGCCUGCGGGUUGUAAAGCACUUUCGGUUGGGAGGACUGCUUCUAGCACUAAUAUUGUUGGAAGUUGACGUUACCUUCAGAAGAAGCACCGGCUAACUCCGUGCCAGCAGCCGCGGGAAUACGGAGGGUGCAAGCGUUAAUCGGAAUUACUGGGCGUAAAGCGCGCGUAGGCGGCUAGAUCAGUCGGGUGUGAAAGCCCCGGGCUUAACCUGGGAACUGCAUCCGAUACUGUCGAGCUUGAGUACAGGAGAGGAGAGUGGAAUUCCACAUGUAGCGGUGAAAUGCGUAGAUAUGUGGAGGAACACCAAUGGCGAAGGCAGCUCUCUGGCCUGAUACUGACGCUGAGGUGCGAAAGCGUGGGGAGCAAACAGGAUUAGAUACCCCUGUAGUC
rnacentral:rRNA from 1 species